CCUACGGGUGGCAGCAGUGAGGAAUAUUGGUCAAUGGACGAGAGUCUGAACCAGCCAAGUAGCGUGAAGGAUGAAGGUCCUACGGAUUGUAAACUUCUUUUAUAAGGGAAUAAACCCUCCCACGUGUGGGAGCUUGUAUGUACCUUAUGAAUAAGCAUCGGCUAACUCCGUGCCAGCAGCCGCGGUAAUACGGAGGAUGCGAGCGUUAUCCGGAUUUAUUGGGUUUAAAGGGAGCGUAGGUGGAUUGUUAAGUCAGUUGUGAAAGUUUGCGGCUCAACCGUAAAAUUGCAGUUGAUACUGGCAGUCUUGAGUACAGUAGAGGUGGGCGGAAUUCGUGGUGUAGCGGUGAAAUGCGUAGAGAUCUGGAGGAAUACCGGUGGCGAAGGCGGCCCCCUGGACGAAGACUGACGCUCAGGUGCGAAAG
rnacentral:rRNA from 1 species